AGUGGCGCACGGGUGCGUAACGCGUAUGCAACCUACCUUAAACUGGGGGAUAGCCUUCCGAAAGGGAGAUUAAUACCGCAUAAGAUCACGAGAGGGCAUCUGAUUGUGAUUAAAGAUUUAUUGGUUUAAGAUGGGCAUGCGUGCCAUUAGCUAGUUGGUAGGGUAACGGCCUACCAAGGCUACGAUGGCUAGGGGUUCUGAGAGGAUGAUCCCCCACACUGGCACUGAGAUACGGGCCAGACUCCUACGGGAGGCAGCAGUAGGGAAUAUUGGGCAAUGGACGCAAGUCUGACCCAGCCAUGCCGCGUGCAGGAAGAAGGCCUUCUGGGUUGUAAACUGCUUUUAUCUGGGAAGAAAAAACCCCUGCGGGGGGAACUGACGGUACCAGAGGAAUAAGCACCGGCUAACUCCGUGCCAGCAGCCGCGGUAAUACGGAGGGUGCAAGCGUUGUCCGGAUUUAUUGGGUUUAAGGGGUGCGUAGGCGGCCCGGUAAGUCAGUGGUGAAAGCCUCCAGCUCAACUGGAGAACUGCCAUUGAUACUGCCGGGCUUGAGUACAGACGAGGUUGGCGGAAUUGAUUGUGUAGCAGUGAAAUGCAUAGAUACAAUCAAGAACUCUGAUUGCGUAGGCAGCUAACUAGGCUGUAACUGACGCUGAGGCACGAAAGCGUGGGGAGCGAACAGGAUUAGAUACCCUGGUAGUCCACGCCGU
rnacentral:rRNA from 1 species